rnacentral:rRNA from 1 species
GUGGGGAAUCUUAGACAAUGGGGGAAACCCUGAUCUAGCCAUGCCGCGUGAGCGAUGAAGGCCUUAGGGUUGUAAAGCUCUUUCAGCUGGGAAGAUAAUGACGGUACCAGCAGAAGAAGCCCCGGCUAACUCCGUGCCAGCAGCCGCGGUAAUACGGAGGGGGCUAGCGUUGUUCGGAAUUACUGGGCGUAAAGCGCGCGUAGGCGGACCAGAAAGUUGGAGGUGAAAUCCCAGGGCUCAACCUUGGAACUGCCUUCAAAACUCCUGGUCUGGAGUUCGAGAGAGGUGAGUGGAAUUCCGAGUGUAGAGGUGAAAUUCGUAGAUAUUAGGAAGAACACCAGUGGCGAAGGCGGCUCACUGGUCCGGUACUGACGCUGAGGUGCGAAAGCGUGGGGAGCAAACAGGAUUAGAUACCCGUGUAGUCC